GCUGACGAGAGUCCUGGUCAGCUGAGUGGAAAUAGAAGGAUUUCUGCUGCCAUCAUCUUCCAUGGGCUUUCCAGGUCACACGACCUACAAGUAGGGAGCAGGGAAAGAAGAGUGAGCCUGCAUGCCAAUUCUAAGCUCUUCAGGAUCAAAAAUGGCAGCCUGUGGAGGCACCUGCAAGAACAAAGUGACUGUGUCCAAGCCCGUGUGGGACUUCCUGAGCAAAGAGACCCCAGCCCGGCUGGCCCGGCUUCGGGAGGAGCACCGUGUGUCCAUCCUCAUAGAUGGCGAGACUUCUGACAUCUAUGUUCUCCAGCUUUCCCCACAGGGUCCUCCCCCGGCCCCUCCAAAUGGGCUCUACCUAGCCCGGAAGGCUCUCAAGGGGCUGCUAAAAGAGGAGCUGAGAGCGAAGGGUAUCACAGAUGACUGAAGGACAUCGCCUUUGCCAAGGCCCCUGCUGUCUGCCUCUACUAGGACCCAGCAGAAGCCUCUUUCUCCUCUCUGCCCCCUGCCCCCCACACCACACCUGUAGGGGACCUGUCUGACUGGGAAGGGAGUUCCGAGAGGGAGGGGGCAAUCCCUUCCCCCAUCCCCCACUGGCCAAGUGUUUCAAUGCAGUGUGAGCCACUCCCUUCUGGCAGAGGCCGACCUCCAAGGCUCUGUUCUCCCCUCCCCGUGUACAUAUACUCCCGGUUUCCCUGCCCCUCCAUUGCCCUUGGCUUUUUCUGGUAUGUGCUGUGCUCCACGACCAAGCCGAGAAAGGACCUAGGGUGGGGAAGGGAGGGUCUCUUGAUUCCUAACCGCCCCCACAUACUGCUCCACCGCUGAACUUCGGGUGCCGGGGAGGAGAAAUUGGGCUGAUGUGAGCUCCCCGUCACCCGCCAUGGAGCCGGCUGUGUGUGUUCAUCAGAUACAGUUCUCCCUUAACCUUGUCCUUUCUCUCCUGUGUCUCAGUCUCCGUCAGUCUGUCUUUCUCCGCUCUUCUCUGACCCCUGUGAGGAACCUCCUUACCCUGUUCUGGAAUCGCUGCCAGACUGUAGCUUUUAAUUUAAUAAAAAU
rnacentral:lncRNA from 1 species